rnacentral:lncRNA from 12 species
GUGCUUGUGUUUGAUUAACAAAACCUGGAGCAUCAGUUUCGUGGAAAGGUGGAUUCACAGCUGAAUGCUGUGAGCCUGACCUGAGACUGGUGUUUGAACAGCAGAUGGGAAGAGAUUUAUGUCACUGGGAAAAUACUCUUAGCAGUCUGGAGAUCCUCAAAUGUGCAAUGGAGAGAGGGGGCUGAGGAAAGGAAGGAAACUGAAGAACCCUCUGGGAGAUUAGUGGAUGCUGCAACCGGCCUGAGCCUGCGUGAAAGCCCAGUGAGCCUCUCUGAUGCAACUGUGGAGCUGAGGAGAAGAGACCAAGCUCUAAAUGACCAGAAGAAACUCCUGAAAGACAUGGAGCAGGACCGGCAGCAGCUGUGGGAGGCUCUCCAGGAGGCAGAAGGUGCCCUCCAACAGGCAGCAAAAGACAAUGAGUUGAUCAUUAAUCGUAUGAAAGCUGUGAAUGCCACCCUGAAUGCGGUAAGAAUUUGAAGUGUUCCCUCUGAUUUGUGUUUCCACACAUGCCAAAGUCUUCGAACUGCUUAUUCUUAGGGGAGAAGUUGUUGCAAAGCAACUUCCUUUGCUUAGAGUUGAAGUUCCCCCCUUAACCUAUUCCAUUUAAAAAAAAAUCACAGUGAAAUAAAAUGCAAGUCUGUAGUACACAAACAACUUGUUCUAAAUGUAGAAGUUUUGACAAAAUUCAUUUUCCUUCCCUCACUAAGUACUGUUUCUGGUUGCCAAGUGAAGAUUAAUGGAACACACAACAAAUUGGCAAUUGUUGUGGAUUUAGCCCUCUACUGAG